GACAGAGGAUGCAAGCGUUAUCCGGAAUGAUUGGGCGUAAAGCGUCUGUAGGUGGCUUUUAAGUCUGCCGUCAAAUCCCAGGGCUUAACCUCGAGCUGUCGGCGGAAACCAUCUGGCUAGAGUCCGGAAGAGGAGAAUGGAAUUCCCGGUGUAGCGGUGAAAUGCGCAGAUAUCGGGAAGAACACCCGUGGCGAAGGCGGUUCUCUGGGACGGUACUGACGCUGAGACGCGAAAGCGUGGGGAGCGAACAGG
rnacentral:rRNA from 1 species